AGGAAUUUAGUUAAUUUAUAAUAUUUAUUUUGCAAAUAAAAGUGAAAUUAUUUUAUUUUAAUUCUUA
rnacentral:tRNA from 1 species